rnacentral:rRNA from 1 species
AGCAAUCCAUGGAGUAGAGUGGCAAACGGGUGAGUAACACGUGGGUGACCUGCCUUCGAGCGGGGGAUAACGUCCCGAAAGGGACGCUAAUACCGCAUAACAUCCUGCUUUUCAAGAAGUGGAGAUCAAAGCUGGGGAUCGCAAGACCUAGCACUCGAAGAGGGGCCCGCGUCCGAUUAGCUAGUUGGUGAGGUAACGGCUCACCAAGGCAACGAUCGGUAGCCGGCCUGAGAGGGCGGACGGCCACACUGGGACUGAGACACGGCCCAGACUCCUACGGGAGGCAGCAGUGGGGAAUUGUUCGCAAUGGGCGCAAGCCUGACGACGCAACGCCGCGUGGAGGAUGAAGAUCUUCGGGUCGUAAACUCCUUUCGAUCGAGACGAACGGCUCCUGGGCUAAUCACCAGGAGAGUGACGGUACCGAGAGAAGAAGCCCCGGCUAACUCCGUGCCAGCAGCCGCGGUAAUACGGGGGGGGUAAGCGUUGUUCGGAAUUACUGGGCGUAAAGGGCUCGUAGGCGGCCAACUAAGUCAGACGUGAAAUCCCUCAGCUUAACUGGGGAACUGCGUCUGAUACUGGAUGACUUGGAUUCGGGAGAGGAAUGCGGAAUUCCAGGUGUAGCGGUGAAAUGCGUAGAUAUCUGGAGGAACACCGGUGGCGAAGGCGGCAUUCUGGACCGACAUUGACGCUGAGGAGCGAAAGCCAGGGGAGCAAACGGGAUUAGAUACCCCGGUAGU